rfam:Nasonia vitripennis unplaced genomic scaffold ChrTn_0145, whole genome shotgun sequence.
CAAUCGGCCCUUUUAAGGGCCACCAAUUAGUUUAAGGGGACCUAAC